rnacentral:lncRNA from 1 species
UCACAUAGUACUUUUGAUCGAAAAAUCAAUCCGAUCUAUUUCGUACCCUUCGCUCAACGAGAAAAUGGAUCAGAUUCUAUAGGAUCAACCCUAUGGGACUUAAGGAAUGAUGGAAGGGAAUAAAAUAAAAUAAAAAAAAAAAAAAAGAAAUAAAAAAAGAAAAGCGAGGGAAAAAAAUAAUAAAGAAAUAAGUAAAUAAAAAUGAAGUAGAAGAACCCAGAUUCCAAAUGAACAAAUUGAAACUGGAAAAGGAUCUUUCUGAUUCUCGAAGAAUGAGGGGCAAGGGGAUUGAUCGAGAAAGAUCUCUUGUUCUUAUUAUAAGUUAUAAGAUCGUGUGAUUGGAUCCGCAGAUGUUUGGUAAAAGAAUAAUCUUCUCCUUUGAGAAUAAUCAAAAAUGGAAAGUGUUCAAUUGGAACAUGAAAACGUGACUGAAUUGGUCCUAGUUACUCUUGG